UCAGGAUGGUCUGGAAAUCUCCCUACCUCGGCCUCCCAAAGUGCUGAGAUUACAGGCGUGAUCCACUGUGCCCUGGCCUUCUCAUAACAUUUACGAAGAAACUGUUCCCAUGUUAGGGAUGAGGAAAUGGAAGUUCAAGAAGGAAAGAAUGUUGUCCAGGGUUCAACAGCUGCUAAAAAGCUAACCCCGCUUAUUCUACACUGAGGAGGACAAAACUCCAAAAGCUCAGGAUCACAAGCUCUUCAGCAGGAACUCAUCCCUGUUUUCUUCAACAGCCUUCCGUACUGAUCUUUGGUCCUCCUUAAAACUGAUUUUAUCAGAGAUCCAUAGAAUGGUGGAUCUAUGAGGUUAGUUCAAUUCUUUCGCUUACUCAUGAAGAAUGAAGUAAAGAGAAAUCACAUGCAAAAGAUCAUGCCUUAAGUGAAUAAUUGAAUUAAGAAUGAAAUGUGAAGUAUUUGGUUCCUGAAACUCUAGUUUGGUCAAUAAACUAGCUUAAGGAAUAUUCUGUCCCACUGAUGACAAGAUAAAGCAAACCAAGAAACACGUCUUGGAACUAGAGCAGGACUUCCCAAACCUUAACAUAGAAAUGAAUCACCUGGUGGGCUUUGCGAUUCUGCUUUACUGACAAACAACCAGGUUAUUGCUGGUUUGGGACCAAAGUUUGAGUAGCAAGAAUUAGAAAAAAAAUGGCCGGUCCUUUUGCCCGUAAUAUAACAGUUGCUCAUACUGGAACCCUUUUUGUGAAUGUAGAAAUGUGCAUGGAAAUAUAAGUGGUAUCUCAGGAUAAGUAAGCUUGAAGAAAGUAUAGAUAACCUGUUAUAUUUUAAAGAUGGCUAAAUUCAGACCUUCACAUCUUACAAUCAGAAAUACUGUCUAAUUUAAUUAUUAAGUAGGAACAUUGUGAAAUAUACCAUGAUGCCCUAUGAAAAUAUAACACCAGUUUCUAAUAUAUACUUGAAGAAACACUAAUAUAUUCUUCAAACCAUAAAAGGAAGUAUGACAUUAAAAAUGAUUUCUGUGUUAUCUGACACAGAUUCAAAGGCAAAAAACCACAGCUUGCAAAGAAAAAUGGCUUUGCUUUAAAAUGAAAAGUGUGACUGCUUAUGUUCUUUGUAAUCUGGAGCAAUUUACGAACAGUAGGGGCCUGAGCAACUUUGAAAUAAUAUCCUUUGCAAUGGUCUGAAUGUUUGCACUUCUCCAAAAUCCAGACAUUGAAAUCCUAACCUCUCAAGGUGAUGGUAGGAGGUGGGGUUUUGGGAGGUGAUUAGGUCCUGAGGGUGGAGCCCUCAUGAAUGAGAGCAGUGUCCUUAUAAAAAAGCCGUAGAGAGCUCCUUUGCCCCUUUCACUCUGUGAGCACACGGUGAGAGGGCUGUCAUCUGACAACCAGAAAGUGAGUCUUCACAAGCUGUGAAAUCUACUGGUGCCUUGAUUUUGGCCUUUGCAGUCUCCAGAACUCUGACAAAUAAAUGUUGGUUGUUUAUAA